rnacentral:tRNA from 1 species
GGGAGUGUAGCUAAGUAGUAGAGUGUUUGCCUAGCAUGCACAAGACUCUGGGUUUGAUCCCCAGCAUCA